CGGGCCGCCACUCGAUGACUCCUAAAAGCUACUGCUCUCAUUCGUUCUUAUAAUUUUGCCUUGCCAAAAAUCUUCUCUUUUCUUUUGUCUCUUGAUUGUGUUGGUUUUAAAUACAAGUACUGCAUUUUGUUGCCUAUUGCAUCGUUUAACAAUCAUUUGAGUUAGCAAGUUUGAGGUCGGAGUUCGGUAGAUCCAAAGCCAACGCCUCAGUUCGCUGCCCUAAAAUAGGUCAGUGAUUAUUCUCCUCUUUUCGAUUCCGCAGUUCUAAGCAUGUUUAUAAUCUGCACAUAUUGGAAAAAAUGUUGUUACUUCCCUUUCGUUUCUUUUUAGACAUUUGAAGUGCUUCUUAUUAACCUCUGAUGUAAUUAAUUUGACUUAUCAUUCUAUGUUCGUUGUUUGUUAGGAAUCAUGAGUUAAGUAUUCUUAGUUGUUGUCAAUAUAUUAGAAACCAUGUUUAGAACUUUUGCAUUUUAAACUAAAUCGUUAAUUGAUAGCAUGUCCAUAUGUAUUCAUAACUGUGUUCUGAUUAUCACCCUUAAAAUGGUUAGGACGUGUGUGUUAGAACUUAUAAGAAUUGUUGUAAAAGUAUAGGAUACGGUUGUCUGAUCCAUGAGAUUGAAGCUGAUUAAUGCAGUAGUCAUCAUCUCGCUAUUCAGUAUAGGAUACGGUUGUCUGUUCCAUGAGAUUGAAGCUGAUUAAUGCAGUAGUCAUCAUCUCGCUAUUCAGUAUAGGAUACGGUUGUCUAUUUAAUUAGAUGCUCUUCAGUUAAGUCCUAAUGUUAACUAAUUAUGUAAAUUCCAUAUGCACUUUCGAGUCUGAUACAUGAAACCUAUGUAUUUGUUUAAAGUAUUGGUAGUCUGAAACAAGUUGUCAGUGACAUCUCGCUAUUCAGUCAUGCCUAUAGGAUUUAUAAUACUACUAAAUCUGAUAUUAACAAAUAACGAAUGCUUGCAGUUUAGCUCUAAAUGUUAUAGAAAGUUUUCUUUGUGAUAUAUGGGCAUAUAUCACAAAGAAUUGUAUGGGCAUAUAUCAGGUAAUUAAUCAGGUGUUUGAAAGAAUUGUAUGGGUUUACAUUGAGUCUGCAUUCUGUCCCCCUGGUCAUUUAUUUGUCGAUAUGUAUCAGGUUGGGAGAAUUUUUUUGUUCUAUCUAAGUAAUUAAAUGUUAUAUGGAGUAGCAGUAGUUUGUUCUAAUUGUUUGGAAGCAUGUUAAAUUAGCACGUUUGUAAAGGGUACCUUUAAGACUUCUUAGUGGUAGAAAUCAUGUCCAGCUCUUUCCUUGGAAUUUGGGUAAUUACAAGUAAUUCUCUAGUUCUGCAAAUGCAUUCUUUCUUCAUCUAAUUACCACUAACAUUGGCAGUAUGUAUCCUAUGUGUAGUUUUAAAAUUUCUUUCAGAUCUCUAUAAUCCUUAGAACACUCACCUAUAGUCAACUAUUCAUCUUUCUGCUUUGCUAUUUUAUUUUUCGUGCAUAUUAAGGGUUAAGCUCUCUUCUAAUUUCACCCUUUACUUUAUUUGGCAUGUAAUGCUGGAGUUAUAAAGAGUCUCAAAGUGAGAAUCUCCACCACCAUCACAUGGAGUCAGUCACAUUCCAUCUACUAGAGUUACCGGAUAGCAAGAAAGAAACAAGUGAAACGCUUGGGGCGCCACUUUUGCUAUUCUUUUUAUCUAUCUUUAUUAUUAUUAAUUUAUUUCUAUAUUUGGAGUUUAUUUUAGUUUGGGGUUCUAGUACUUAUAUAAUCUUUAGGAAUUUAAGAUCACUAAUUUAAUAACCUUUUCAUCAAUUUACCAAUGCUUAAGCAUUUUCUAAUAAGCUUAAUAUUAUACCUAUGACACUUUUUUUAAGAAAUCAAUUUGUUAAAACGAUGGCUUUCCGAUAACUUCUUGUCAAGCUCGUUUCUAAUAUCAUUAAGUUUUUGAACUAAGAUGUUUAAUUCUAACCAGGUAAUUUUUUUUACGAGAAUUGCUUAACUUUAAGCAACUGGAAAACUUUAUUUUUUCUUUAAGAAUUAAAUUUUAAUAAGUCAAAAGAAGUCAUUUGACGUUGAAAGAUGUUACGCUUACAUCUAAUUUAUUCUAAAAUCUUGGACUAAUUAGCCUAAGUUUGGCUGGUUAACCGUAGUUAACAGAUCAUAUAGAGUGCUUUAAUAACCUUCCCUAUAGGAUUAGUUAGAACACUUACCUAUAAUUUUUAAGGUUAAGCAGACCAUAAAAAUAGAGUUAACUUAAGCAUUACUUAACUAAAAUUAGGUGGCGACUCUUAAAAUUAAUUAAACCUCAAGAUUUCCAAUAGGUUAUAUACUAUAAUUCGACCCGUGAUAAAAUGUGGUAUAACAACAAGUCUGUAUCAGAGCUUUACGCUCAUAGUUAUGAGUCAUAAGCAAGUUUAGUAGAGUAUUGCGGAUCGGUACAUAGUUUUUUCAACUUAUCUUCGAGAUUCUACGAAACUAUUAGGAAAGUUUCACUUCUUUCAUUAUUGUGCGAGAUUAUUGAUCCCGAAGUUUGAGCUUUUAUCGUUCUAUUCUCUCAUAGAUGGUGAGGACAUGAGCUGCAGUUACUGAUAAUGCUGCCCCCUGAGCAGGUGUUGCUAGGGGCACAGGCCAAAACCGAGGCCGAAGAGGAGCGCAUGCCGCAGUAGGUCACUUACCAACUACUAGUAGUUCAAGUUGGGGGAUAGGUACC
rnacentral:lncRNA from 1 species